AAUUGUUUUUUUCUCUAUGUUGGCAUUGGAAUUUGAAAGCAGGAACAUUGCGCUCGUGUGGUUCGAUCAUUUAGUGAAGUAACAAUGUAUGAGAAGUCUGGUAAUGAGAAAGAAUUUAUUGAAGAAACCAUGCCAUCUAACGAAGAAUAUGAUCCACCCAACACAUCAUCACCUCUAAAAGAUCGAUUCAACCUUUCUGCAAUGUUGAUUGGACGUGACCCAGUACCAUCUGCUGAGGAUGCAGAUACAAUCGAGUCAUCUAUUUUAAAACUGGAAGAACUCGCCAACAAGUUAAGAUGGAUCAAGGGGUUUCUGCAAUUUGGAUACAGAUGGCCUGACGAAGAAAUGAAGCCUUCAUGGACAUUUACGGGAGAUAAGAGAUCACUCGGAGAGUAAUAUCUUCAAAACACUGCAUUUUCAAAGGCUGCUCUGAUACUCCGCAAGCUAUAGUUACACAUGAUGCCCUUGCGGAAAAUUUGUAGAGUUAUUUUUUGUUAAUAUUUCGAUUUUUUUUCUUUUUGGAACUUACGUGAGGUUUUGCUCAUUGGAAUUUAUGAUGCAGAGUUCGCAUUCUGUGCUA